rnacentral:rRNA from 1 species
UGGGGAAUUUUCCGCAAUGGGCGAAAGCCUGACGGAGCAAUGCCGCGUGGAGGUGGAAGGCCUACGGGUCGUCAACUUCUUUUCUCGGAGAAGAAACAAUGACGGUAUCUGAGGAAUAAGCAUCGGCUAACUCUGUGCC